UUUGGCUUGGCGGAGUGGUCUAACGCACCCGCACUUAAGGCGCGGGGUUUCGUGGUGUUCGAAUCCCACAGCCAAUA
rnacentral:tRNA from 1 species